rnacentral:tRNA from 1 species
AAGCCCGGGGGAUCUUAAAAAUCUCGGCUCCGAGUUUGCAACUCGGCGUGCAGCGCACUUCAGGACU